GACGAACGCUGGCGGCGCGCCUAACACAUGCAAGUCGAGCGAUGAAAGUUUAACAGAUUUCUUCGGAAUGAAGUUAAAGUGGAUUAGCGGCGGACGGGUGAGUAACACGUGAAUAACCUACCUUUGACACAGGGAUAGCCUUGGGAAACUGGGAUUAAUACCUGAUGAUAUCACUUAGCCACAUGGCUUAGUGAUUAAAGUGACUUAGCGGUCAAAGAUGGAUUCGCGUCUGAUUAGCUAGUUGGUGAGGUAACGGCCCACCAAACCUACGAUCAGUAGCCGGUCUGAGAGGAUGAACGGCCACACUGGGACUGAGAUACGGCCCAGACUCCUACGGGAGGCAGCAGUGGGGAAUAUUGCACAAUGGGGGGAACCCUGAUGCAGCGACGCCGCGUGGAGGAAGAAGGUCUUCGGGAUUGGUAAACUCCUGUUGUUAGGGACGAGUAAUGACGGUACCUAACAAGGAAGCACCGGNUAACUACGUG
rnacentral:rRNA from 1 species